AGAUUCCUUUCUUCCCUUCCUGGAAACCUUCUUCGAGGAUUAAGAGGUCUGUGAAAGAACGUCAUUUCCUUGAGGGUAGAUUAUGUUUUGUGGUAUUUAAGUAGCUAACUAGUCAUAUAACUAGCUGAUUAACCAAGUAGCUAACCGGUAAACUAACUAGCAGCUAGCCUCCUAACUGACUAACUAGAAUCUGAAUACAGCCAGAGAAGUAGCAAAGAGCCGAGAUGAGUGCCCUCUUCCAUCCGACCAUGGAAAUUGGAAAUCCUCUGGAACCAUAGCUUCUGGCCGACCCCAGCUGGAAACCACAGUGUCUUCUGUGGCCAUCUGAAAUGCUCAGGAGUGAUUUCGAAUUUUUCUCUAAUCUUGGAUGGCCGGACAACAGCCCCAAGAUGCUUCACGACACACACCCGUGCCUGCCGAGCACUUCUCUUGUUUGCAGGACAGUUUCACCCGGCCCUGCCAAGUGUGGAGAGAGGCCCCACGUGCACUUUCAGUCACGUGACUCAUGACUCAGGCGCUUUCUGGUUCCUGCCCAUCACAGAGUAUGGGAACCUGGGAGGAAAGAGUUUUGAAGACAGGGUCUUGCUUUAUGUUCCUGGAUGACCUGGCACUGGCUAGGUAGCCCAGGUUGGUCUUGAACUGAUGGCCGUACUUUGGCCUCAGCCUUCUGAGAGCUGGAGUUACAGCUUCGGAAUCAGCAGCCGUUCUCUCGUUCUCUCGGCGAUCACCGAGUUGCCCCUUUACAGUGGCCCGAAGGCCCCAUGAUCCCAGGAGGAAUAACUCACAAACCGCACUGAAGGAGGCCUUGUGGCCAGCUCAGCUAGGUUUGUCGCAUUUCUGCAAAGAUUUUUGAUCCUGCUAACCUCAGUCCCCACAGACCUUGGUGGACAGUAGUAUUCAGCAACAGGGCCAUCCAGAAGCUAAAAGAGUCCCGAGAAAGCCACUAAAUUCCCAAAAGCUGGAAACCACUCUAGGGGAAGUACAAGUGCUUGCCUGCAACAACACACAGCUCCCUGGAGCUCCAGGAUCUGGGAAGACUCCUGCUUGCUGGAGCCGCUGGCCCCUUCCCAAGAUGUCCCAUUCUGGUCUUUGUUAUCUGGCUCUUGCCCAGAUUCACAUCCGCUUUGAACACUGUGAUUAUCCACGAUGCUCUAGCCAGCACCAUGUCUCCCCACCACAGUUUGUCGAAAUAAAUUAAAAACAAAUUGA